GUGCAGCUUCAAUCACUGGUUUUGCAUGCUGGUGCAGAAAUGAAGGGAGCCAUGCUUUCAAGAGUGAGUUUAGUGCUGGAAAUUUGUCAGCUAUUAAGCUGAGUCUCCGGGGCUACCUCUUAAGAAAG
rnacentral:snoRNA from 1 species